UACGUAGGGUGCAAGCGUUGUCCGGAAUUAUUGGGCGUAAAGAGCUCGUAGGUGGCCUGUCGCGUCGGCUGUGAAAACUCGGGGCUCAACUCCGAGCUUGCAGUCGAUACGGGCAGGCUAGAGUUCGGCAGGGGAGACUGGAAUUCCUGGUGUAGCGGUGAAAUGCGCAGAUAUCAGGAGGAACACCGACGGCGAAGGCAGCUUACUGGGCCGAUACUGACGCUGAGGAGCGAAAGCGUGGGGAGCGAACAGG
rnacentral:rRNA from 1 species